rnacentral:rRNA from 1 species
GGGGUGCUCAGUGGCGAACGGGUGAGUAACACGUGAGUAACCUGCCCUUGACUUUGGGAUAACUUCAGGAAACUGGGGCUAAUACCGGAUAGGAGCUCCUGCUGCAUGGUGGGGGUUGGAAAGUUUCGGCGGUUGGGGAUGGACUCGCGGCUUAUCAGCUCGUUGGUGGGGUAGUGGCUUACCAAGGCUUUGACGGGUAGCCGGCCUGAGAGGGUGACCGGCCACAUUGGGACUGAGAUACGGCCCAG